rnacentral:rRNA from 1 species
GUCUACGGCCACGCCACCCUGAACAAGCCCGAUCCCGUCUGAUCUCGGAAGCUAAGCAGGGUCAGGCCUGGUUAGUACUUCGAUGGGAGACCACCUAGGAAGACCAGGUGCUGUAGGUG